rnacentral:rRNA from 1 species
GAUGAACGCUGGCGGCGUGCCUAAUACAUGCAAGUCGAGCGAACAGAUGAGGAGCUUGCUCCUCUGACGUUAGCGGCGGACGGGUGAGUAACACGUGGAUAACCUACCUAUAAGACUGGGAUAACUUCGGGAAACCGGAGCUAAUACCGGAUAAUAUAUUGAACCGCAUGGUUCAAUAGUGAAAGACGGUUUUGCUGUCACUUAUAGAUGGAUCCGCGCCGCAUUAGCUAGUUGGGAAGGUAACGGCUUACCAAGGCAACGAUGCGUAGCCGACCUGAGAGGGUGAUCGGCCGCACGGGAACUGAGACACGGUCCAGACGCCUACGGGAGGCAGCAGUAGGGAAUCUUCCGCAAUGGGCGAAAGCCUGACGGAGCAACGCCGCGUGAGUGAUGAAGGUCUUCGGAUCGUAAAACUCUGUUAUUAGGGAAGAACAAAUGUGUAAGUAACUAUGCACGUCUUGACGGUACCUAAUCAGAAAGCCACGGCUAACUACGUG